GUGGGGAAUAUUGGACAAUGGGGGAAACCCUGAUCCAGCAAUGCCGCGUGUGUGAAGAAGGCCUUAGGGUUGUAAAGCACUUUUGUUAGGGAGGAAGGAGUGUGUGCUAAUAGUGCACAUGACAGACGUUACCUAAAGAAUAAGCACCGGCUAACUCUGUGCCAGCAGCCGCGGUAAUACAGAGGGUGCGAGCGUUAAUCGGAAUUACUGGGCGUAAAGGGUGCGUAGGUGGGCGCAUAAGUCAGAUGUGAAAUCCCUGGGCUUAACCUAGGAACUGCAUUUGAUACUGUGAGUCUAGAGUAUGGUAGAGGUAAGUGGAAUUUCCGGUGUAGCGGUGAAAUGCGUAGAUAUCGGAAGGAACAUCAGUGGCGAAGGCGACUUACUGGACUGAUACUGACACUGAGGCACGAAAGCGUGGGGAGCAAACAGGAUUAGAAACCCGGGUAGUCC
rnacentral:rRNA from 1 species